CCUACGGGGGGCUGCAGUGGGGAAUAUUGGACAAUGGGGGCAACCCUGAUCCAGCCAUGCCGCGUGUGUGAAGAAGGCCCUCGGGUUGUAAAGCACUUUCAGUGAGGAAGAACGCCUGGUGGUUAAUACCCAUCAGGAAAGACAUCACUCACAGAAGAAGCACCGGCUAACUCCGUGCCAGCAGCCGCGGUAAUACGGAGGGUGCGAGCGUUAAUCGGAAUUACUGGGCGUAAAGCGCGCGUAGGUGGCUUGAUAAGCCGGUUGUGAAAGCCCCGGGCUCAACCUGGGAACGGCAUCCGGAACUGUCAAGCUAGAGUGCAGGAGAGGAAGGUAGAAUUCCCGGUGUAGCGGUGAAAUGCGUAGAGAUCGGGAGGAAUACCAGUGGCGAAGGCGGCCUUCUGGACUGACACUGACACUGAGGUGCGAAAGCGUGGGUAGCAAACAGGAUUAGAUACCCAUGUAGUC
rnacentral:rRNA from 1 species